AAAAAAAUCGGGCAAACCGGUCGAAAGACCGGGACGCAAAGCUAUGGGCCUAAAGCUUUUAAGCUAUGGCUGCCAGGUUGCUUAU
rfam:Peptococcaceae bacterium BRH_c8a BRHa_1004620, whole genome shotgun sequence.